UUUCAGUGGAGAUGCUGACACUGCUGCCCCAGAGUUGAGCCAAUACUGUAAAUGUACGUGAGCAUCAUAAACACUGCUUUGUGCUUGAAACAGCAUUGACAGUACACUGUAGAUGGCUACAUACCAGAAAACUGGUUUGAUGAGUCAUUGCUCCUCGACAUUCUCCACCUUCAUGACUCAGUCAUUUUGAAAUAAGACUUCAGAAGUAAAAAACUCACCAGUAGGUAAAUUCACUCAGCUCAUCCCUGCUACCUGCUGCUGCACUUGUACCAGCCCAGGAGAGACAAGAACGGCUCAUGCUUUCCUUUGAAAGGUACACUGACAGGCCAUCUGCGUCCCAUUCAGACUGCAGGCCCCACAGUGCCUACAGUUAGCAUUAAUUGGAGAAGUGACGCAGCUCUUACAGAUAACAAUGCAAGGUUGCAGGCAUUUGGAAACCUCCAGGGGUCACGACUGUUCAAAAAGUCGGAAUAACUUGGUCAUUUUUAGCGCUCCGUCCCUGACAACGCUGUACCAGUCGUGCACUGCUGAUGGGGGAAGAAUCAGUGGCACAGUGUAAGCUCCAGCUACUUAUGUCUGAACUAUGAGGUUCAUCUCUUCUACUUCCUGUGCAAACAGUUACAGUAGGUGUUCCCGAGAACUUAAAAGAAACAAAAAAAACAGUGACCCAUGGCUCCAGUUUAAAACAUGCCUUUUAAAGCAUGGUGCUAAAAAUGUGUGCAGACUUUCCUGCACAUAGUUAAAAUACAACACAAUAGAAACCAACCGCUUCAAAAAAUCUUUUCUUUGGGAAAAAAAAAAAACAUUUUAAAUGUGACAUUUUUCAAAGUAAACAGCAACUGAUUCAUUUGCCAGAUUUGUUUCUGAACUCUCUAAAAGUUAACUCGAGCCUUCACUAUAUUUUUGAAUGUACUGUAUAAUGUGUACUAAAUUUUUCUGAUUAAUGACAUGUAUUAAAA